GGAAGACAACACGUGGUUUGGCCACAUGCGCACCAAGCAGGUAUGACAGGUUUUUACAGAUGAUGCUGGGGAGGCAAACAGCUCGAUGUGAGCAGUGCCCGGGCUGUGCUCCAACCCGUGAGAGACAAACCAUGUGGCUCAUCCUGCAGGUUAUUCCCCCAAAGGUGGGUGACAGCUCCUGAAAGCCUAGGCUUUGCCCAAGGAGGUCACCACUGUGGGGCUUCUCCUGAGCUAACCUGGUCUCCUUCAAAGUGGCAUCCACAGGAGGGAAAUAGGCAGAAGUUACUCUAACUCCAGCUCACAAAAUGAUGACCCCUUGCAACUGCCACUGCUCCAGUCCUCUAGCAGCUCUGCCACUGUCGCAUUACAAAGACUCUCUUGGUGGCCUGAAGGCCUCACGAAGCCAUGACCAAAAGAGUUGUCCCUUCAACACAGAGUAAUUCUACCUGCAGGCUAUUUAGUGAAGAGCCUUGCUGUUUUUGGGCCCGCUGGAAACUAUUUAUCACUGUUUACAGAAGAGAAAAGCAGGGCCACCAGAUCAGCAACCAAAUCUAAAACUGAUUUCAAAGUACAUUCUCCGAUAGAACAAUACACAUCUUUCUAAUUUAGGGACAUGAGUGGAUAUCUGAGUAAAACAUCACUGUUGAAAGACAUCCUGACUUUCACGAACCAUGGGGGCAAAAAAAUGUGCAUACCUUCCAGAAGAAAACACUGUAGCUAGGUCUCAAAGGUUCAGUAUCAAGUGAUUUCCAUGAGGUCAUGAGGUUUCCAGAAGUGAAUAGAGUAUCUCAGCCUUGGUUUCACUAAGGAGAGAUGGGCCUAGCUGCACAAGGAUCUGUCAUGUGCAAUUUUGUUUACUUGUGCCUGUUUGCUAACCUCCAGCUUUGUGGAACAGGUCCCCUGAUCUGGUUCACAGCAUGGCCCUGCCAGGAGCUGGAACUGGGAAGAUUGAGGAGUGACACAAUGUGGCACGAGGACAAAAAAGGUUGAACUGGGUGUUGGGAUGUUUCUGAGGCCACAGGAUCAGAAAACUGUGGCCUUUCUGCUGCCAGCCUGAGGCAAGCCUCAAUUUCUAGCCACUAAUGAUCUUGUUAAUCUGUUUUAUAGCACAGUCAAUCUGCAUGUGUUUUCAAGUCUCAUCUGGCCUCCCUCUUCUGUGUUAUUUAACAUCUUGUUGAGAAAUUCUUUUAUCAAACACUUUAAACAAUUUUAGAAAUACAGACUUGCUUUAAAAAAAUUUAGGACUUAGUUAUGAGCAGCUCCUAUUCCCACAGCAGAGCUGGUCAGUGUAAAGAACAGUGAGAAACACUUGAAUCAGAACAUGGACAGUCAAAGUUUAAAGGAAAAACUAGUACCUACAAAGCA